rnacentral:rRNA from 1 species
UACAGAGGGUGCAAGCGUUAAUCGGAAUUACUGGGCGUAAAGCGUGCGUAGGCGGUUACGUAAGUCGGGUGUGAAAGCCCCGGGCUCAACCUGGGAAUUGCAUUCGAGACUGCGUAGCUAGGGUACGGUAGAGGGAAGCGGAAUUUCCGGUGUAGCGGUGAAAUGCGUAGAUAUCGGAAGGAACACCAGUGGCGAAAGCGGCUUCCUGGACCAGUACCGACGUUCAGGCACGAAAGCGUGGGGAGCAAACAGG